AUAUCAGCGUAUCAAAGAGAUGUCUGCUAUCCUACUGUUCAAUCUACUAUAACUAAUGUGAUGGAAUACCUGAGAGUAAAUUAAUCACUUCUGAACACCAUGCAUUCUGUACUCAUACUCGCAUGGCAAUGAAGGAAGUAAUGACUCAUAUGAUUUAUGAACUCCCUAGCCAACCAAGGGAAGGCUGAUAGGACCACUCUGGAGGACACAGAGAUGCAGCCAAUGAAAACUAUUAAAACAUCUGAUGAUUUGCCAAUGGAUAAAUGCCAGCUGACAGCAGGACAAAACAACGGCCAUACAUAGUUCUGACUGACAAGACGUACUAGAUGACAGUCAUACUGUUCCUAAUCACAGACCUGACAUCAUCAAUCAACCAUGCAUUUGUAGCUUGACUGAUAGUUAGAAAAUGUGCCCAUGGACAACAACCCACAUGUUUUUCUCAUGGGGGGAAAUUAUAUCAUUGGAGAGUACUGUUCUACAGUGGAGCACAUCUGUGUUCUAAACAAUUGAAUAACUGUACCGUCUUCAUAAUUUACAUUAAAGUUUUGAAUUAAGUAUUCAUUGUAGCAGUCAUCUGUGAGUGUCUGAACAGUUGUCAACUCUGAGACACCUUACCCUUCUAAGGUAUCUAGCUAGCUACAGCAGGCUACCGAGACAGAAAUAGACAUUGCCAUGCUGUUCGUAAUGGAGCGUAACAUUUUCGUCCUGAAUUUGAGCUUUCGUUUUAACAACAUGACCACACAACUUUGGAAUUCUAUAUAGGACAAAAUGCGUGUUGCAGGCAUAUUUUGAUAUUUAAGAUUGUGAAAAUGUUGUACAGUUAUUCCCUCUUAGAAAAAACGGUUCCAAAAGGGUUCUUCAGCUGUCCCCAUAGGAGAACACUUUUUGGUUCCUGGUAGAACCCUAUUUUUGGGUUCCAUGUAGAACCCUCUGUGGAAAGGGUUCUACAUGGAACCAAAAGGGUUCUAACCUGGAACCCUAAAGGGUUCUACCUGGAAGCAAACAUAGUUAUUCAAAGGGUUAUUCUAUGGGAACAGCCGAAGAACCCCUUUAGGUUCUAGAUAGCACCUUUUUUUUCCUAAGAGUGUACACCUAGAUGUGUGAGUAGAAGUGUGAGUAGAAGUAUACUAGGUAAGAAUACUACAAAUUUUGAUUAUCAGAAAUGUUUGAUUGCAAUUAUAUAACAUUAUCCUCUGGAAUCUAAACUUCUAUUAAAGAAUAUGUAGCCAUUAUUUUUAAAAAGGCC
rnacentral:lncRNA from 1 species